GGGUAGGUAGCUCAGUGGUUAGAGUUUAGGUCUCGCAACCGGAAGGUCCCGGGAUCAAAUAUCGCUAGAGGCU
rnacentral:tRNA from 1 species